rnacentral:rRNA from 1 species
UACGUAGGGUGCAAGCGUUGUCCGGAAUUAUUGGGCGUAAAGAGCUUGUAGGCGGUUUGUCGCGUCUGGCUGUGAAAUUUCGGGGCUCAACCCCUGAAACUUGCAGUGGGUACGGGCUAGACUAGAGUGUGGUAGGGGAGACUGGAAUUCCUGGUGUAGCGGUAGAAAUGCGCAGAUAUCAGGAGGAACACCGAUGGCGAAGGCAGGUCUCUGGGCCAUAACUGACGCUGAGACGCGAAAGCGUGGGGAGCGAACAGG